rnacentral:rRNA from 1 species
UGAUCAUGGCUCAGAUUGAACGCUGGCGGCAGGCCUAACACAUGCAAGUCGAGCGGUAGCGGGAAGAGCUUGCUCUUUGCCGACGAGCGGCGGACGGGUGCGUAACACGUAGGAAUCUGCCCGGUAGUGGGGGAUAGCCCGGAGAAAUCCGGAUUAAUACCGCAUACGCCCUAAGGGGGAAAGCAGGGGAUCUUCGGACCUUGCGCUAUCGGAUGAGCCUGCGUCGGAUUAGCUUGUUGGUGGGGUAAAGGCCUACCAAGGCGACGAUCCGUAGCUGGUCUGAGAGGAUGAUCAGCCACACUGGGACUGAGACACGGCCCAGACUCCUACGGGA